rnacentral:rRNA from 1 species
AUUGAACGCUGGCGGCAGGUCUAACACAUGCAAGUCGAGCGGAUGAAGGGAGCUUGCUCCUGGAUUCAGCGGCGGACGGGUGAGUAAUGCCUAGGAAUCUGCCUGGUAGUGGGGGAUAACGUCCGGAAACGGGCGCUAAUACCGCAUACGUCCUGAGGGAGAAAGUGGGGGAUCUUCGGACCUCACGCUAUCAGAUGAGCCUAGGUCGGAUUAGCUAGUUGGUGGGGUAAAGGCCUACCAAGGCGACGAUCCGUAACUGGUCUGAGAGGAUGAUCAGUCACACUGGAACUGAGACACGGUCCAGACUCCUACGGGAGGCAGCAGUGGGGAAUAUUGGACAAUGGGCGAAAGCCUGAUCCAGCCAUGCCGCGUGUGUGAAGAAGGUCUUCGGAUUGUAAAGCACUUUAAGUUGGGAGGAAGGGCAGUAAGUUAAUACCUUGCUGUCUUGACGUUACCAACAGAAUAAGCACCGGCUAACUUCGUG